UGCAAGUCGAGCGGAUGACGGGAGCUUGCUCCUUGAUUCAGCGGCGGACGGGUGAGUAAUGCCUAGGAAUCUGCCUGGUAGUGGGGGACAACGUUUCGAAAGGAACGCUAAUACCGCAUACGUCCUACGGGAGAAAGUGGGGGAUCUUCGGACCUCACGCUAUCAGAUGAGCCUAGGUCGGAUUAGCUAGUUGGUGAGGUAAUGGCUCACCAAGGCGACGAUCCGUAACUGGUCUGAGAGGAUGAUCAGUCACACUGGAACUGAGACACGGUCCAGACUCCUACGGGAGGCAGCAGUGGGGAAUAUUGGACAAUGGGCGAAAGCCUGAUCCAGCCAUGCCGCGUGUGUGAAGAAGGUCUUCGGAUUGUAAAGCACUUUAAGUUGGGAGGAAGGGCAGUAAGUUAAUACCUUGCUGUUUUGACGUUACCGACAGAAUAAGCACCGGCUAACUCUGUGCCAGCAGCCGCGGUAAUACAGAGGGUGCAAGCGUUAAUCGGAAUUACUGGGCGUAAAGCGCGCGUAGGUGGUUCGUUAAGUUGGAUGUGAAAGCCCCGGGCUCAACCUGGGAACUGCAUCCAAAACUGGCGAGCUAGAGUACGGUAGAGGGUGGUGGAAUUUCCUGUGUAGCGGUGAAAUGCGUAGAUAUAGGAAGGAACACCAGUGGCGAACGCGACCACCUGGACUGAUACUGACACUGAGU
rnacentral:rRNA from 1 species